UAUCACUCAUGCACUUAUGUCCACCCAACAUCAAUCUACUCUCAUUUCUAAACCCCCAGAGAGAGUAGACAGUAGGCAUAAAUCUGCCAAAAAAUCUCCAUUUGGACGAGGAUGCUUCCAAAAAUUUACAGACGGACAGGGUACAUCCUGUCACAAAGGAUGUGGUUGCACCACAACUAAGAGCCCCUCACCGGGCAAAAU